rnacentral:lncRNA from 1 species
GGCUUCUGCUUGCUGUUCCUCUGCGACGCCGGCAAUGUUGAGCCGGACGACGACGACGGCGACGACGACGACGACGAGACAGCUUCUGAUCAUGAUGAGAAAGUGUGAUUUCAAUUAACGGACUGUCCAGAUUACGCUUAAUCAAGUCUUACACUUGAAGCAACGUAUCAUUUCUUCGUAAUUAAUCACAAAUUAACUAGGAAACAAUCAAAUAUAUGUGCAGAAUUUGAAGACGUAAGUGAGAAAGUUUAGCAGAUAUAUAGUGUUGGUGUGUGUAUGUGCAGUGUGAUAUUUUUCUUGCUUAUUAUGUGUUGACUUAAUUACUUGGGUUAAUGUAGCGGUAAGUUGGUUUUAUGUACAAAUCAUACUUUUUAAUCAAAGGGAAAUGCCAACCCUCGAGUGAUGAGCUACACGCUCUCCCUCAAAUUACGAAACUUGUGUUAAUUAGUCAUCUAUAUGCAUGAGAUCUUUAAAAUGUAACUUUGCUGAUUAACAGAUUUGAGACUGGACCUCG